CGUAGGUGGCAAGCGUUGUCCGGAAUUAUUGGGCGUAAAGCGCGCGCAGGCGGUUCCUUAAGUCUGAUGUGAAAGCCCCCGGCUCAACCGGGGAAGGUCAUUGGAAACUGGGGAACUUGAGUGCAGAAGAGAAGAGCGGAAUUCCACGUGUAGCGGUGAAAUGCGUAGAGAUGUGGAGGAACACCAGUGGCGAAGGCGGCUCUUUGGUCUGUAACUGACGCUGAGGCGCGAAAGCGUGGGGAGCAAGCAGGAUUAGAUACCCUGGUAGUCCACGCCGUAAACGAUGAGUGCUAAGUGUUAGAGGGUUUCCGCCCUUUAGUGCUGCAGCUAACACAUUAAGCACUCCGCCUGGGGAGUACGGCCGCAAGGCUG
rnacentral:rRNA from 1 species